CCUACGGGAGGCAGCAGUGGGGAAUUUUGGACAAUGGGCGCAAGCCUGAUCCAGCCAUGCCGCGUGUGGGAAGAAGGCCUUCGGGUUGUAAACCACUUUUGUCAGGGAAGAAACGGUCUGGAUUAAUAAUCUGGGCUAAUGACGGUACCUGAAGAAUAAGCACCGGCUAACUACGUGCCAGCAGCCGCGGUAAU
rnacentral:rRNA from 1 species